rnacentral:tRNA from 1 species
GGUCGAUUAGCUCAGUUGGUCAGAGCGCACGGUUCACAUCCGUGAGGUCGUAGGUUCGAGCCCUACAUCGACCA